GACGUAGGGCGCGAGCGUUGUCCGGAUUUAUUGGGCGUAAAGAGCUCGUAGGCGGCUUGUCGCGUCGACUGUGAAAACCCGCAGCUCAACUGUGGGCUUGCAGCCGAUACGGGCAGGCUAGAGUUCGGUAGGGGAGACUGGAAUUCCUGGUGUAGCGGUGAAAUGCGCAGAUAUCAGGAGGAACACCGAUGGCGAAGGCAGGUCUCUGGGCAUUAACUGACGCUGAGGAGCGAAAGCAUGGGGAGCGAACAGG
rnacentral:rRNA from 1 species